AAGUGUAAUAGCUCUUCUAGAAUUUAUCUAGCAGGUUUUCUGACUGGUAUUAGAAAGCCUUA
rnacentral:snRNA from 1 species